AUGCUGAAGAUGAAGAAUUAUCUAAAGCUAUUCAAUAUCGGCAGCAUUUUUUGAGGAGAGUGAAGAGGCGAGAAAAACAAUUUUCAG
rnacentral:sRNA from 1 species